rnacentral:lncRNA from 1 species
UUCAAACCGUGUAUGAUUUGGAGCUGAAAUGAGGAAGAUAUGGCCUUUGGAAGGCAACUGCAUCAUGUCAAAUGACCAAUUUCGCAACGAGAUUUUCUUCAUGGUGCGAAAUUUUGCCAUUUCGCAAGGGGAUUUUUCUUCAUGGUGCGAAAUUUUGCCAUUUCGCAAUGUGAAUUUCACAUUGCGAAAAUUUCGCAAGGAGGAUUUAGGCACAUUGCGAAAUUCCUUUGAAUCCCCUGUUUUGAGACGUUGUUGAUGUUAUUCCACUACCGGUUCUCCAAGAUAUUUUGCUUGAUUUUUAGCUUUGUAAAUACCUAUUUUACCCUUGUAAUCAACCAAUGAAUAGGUUGCUUUUGUAAUAGCUCUUGUAAUUUAGCUUGUUAUUGUCUUUAAAUAGAGGUGAAGAGCCUCAGAUCAUAAAAUCUUGUAACCUGUAACUUUAUAAGUUAUAAGAGCACUUUUGUUCAUACGCUUCUUUUCUCUUUUCUUUCUCAUUUUCUUAGUAGCCAAACAUCCUUGGAGGAUGAAAUCCCCAAGGAUGAGAGGCUAAAACCUUUUAGUUUCUUGAAGUAAUGGAUGCCAUGUGAAGCUCCCGUGUCAGGAUGGAGAUUUCCAAGCCAUGAAUGUAAGUAGCUGAGCGUCAUAAAUGUUUUCAUUCAAAGUAAAGCUUUUAAUCCCUCUGACUUGCUUUGAAUGGCCAAUACUUGAUAAUCUUUUGGUCUCAGUGGAUUCUUAUUGUUAGAUCCACUGAUGUUCAUUAGUUAUCCCCUACGAGCCAUUGUAUUGCAAGUCGAGGAGAUGACCUAUAUCAUUAAAAGAGCAUUUAUGAGGUUCAACUACCCUUUUUGUAAGUUUUCAAGGACUAAAACUCAGUUGUUAAACUCAUACCGGUUCGGGAAGUAAGCAUCACCUUAGUUGCUUCCCCAACUCGAGGUGAAAAGUCCCAAAAUCUCCAUUUUUACAUAGUGAGUUAAGCAUGGCUAUCCAAAGCUUUGAGAAACUUCUUUUUCCAUAUUUUAACCUAUUUUCAUGUUAGUUUAGUUUACACACCUUCAUCUUUAUAUGUUUUCAUCUUAACUUAAUUUUUAUUAAGAAAAGUUCACUCCAUCCUCCGAACUUCACCAGUUAAAGUAAAAACCCUUCCCAGUGUUCGAUCCUAGAGCCACUAUGCUAUAGUAGCUUUGCUACUUUAGUGUAUGGACGUUAGGUAUAAAUUUUGUUGAUACCCUUACAUGCCAAGCUACCAAGAGUCGGGUUAUCAGUCGUCUUCCACUUCAGAGAGAGAGGGAGAGAGCUAGGAUUCUUCCCUUCCAAAGUCCACACUUUGGAGUACAAAGAUCGUGGUUCAAGUCAUAGGGCAAAAGAUCUUCGGUGCACGAGACCUCCAAACUCUUCAAGCUUCAUCUUUAACUAGUGAAAUUGAUUUGGGAUGUCUAAAUUAAAUUUAAAGUUUUCUAAUGACUUUUCUUUGGAUCCUAGAAUGUUAAAAAAAAAAAAAAAAAAAUUCAUUUCCGUUGCAUAAGAUCUAGAGGCAUAAGGUAGUUUGCAUGCACCUAUAUGAUCCAAAGCUUGGGAACAAGGAAACCUACCCAAAAUAAAAGGUACUCGAUAUGAUGAUUUGAAAUUUUUGCAAGGAAUUACAAUUGCAAUGAAUGUAGCAACAACCUCAUAUGAAAUUCUCGGUGAAGUUUCUAAUUCUUCAAAGCUAGUGAAAAGGCAUUACAAAGUCUUGCAAAGCCAUGUUUGUUGAAAGGUAUUUCUACAUCCAAGUUGGAAUUUUGUGAGCACUAUCUAUUAAGAAAAAACACCAGGGUAAAGUUUGGUAUUGCAGUCCAUCGCACCAAGGAAACAUUAGAUUAUGUGUAUACAAAUGUCUAGGGACAUACAAAAACAACUUCUUUAUGAGGUAAGCAUUGGUUUGUGAUUUUUUUUUGUGAUUACUUAAGAUAUGUGUAGGUGCAUUUAAUGUGAUAUAAAAGUUAUGCUCUUAAUGUGUUUCUCAAAAGACAAUGGUAGAAAAUAAAGUUAUUAAAAAAAAUAUUAAGAAGCAUAUAUUAAACAAUUAUGGGGAAUAUAAGUUAAAUCCUUUUACGCAAAUUAGAGAAAAAAAAAUGAUUGUGUGACAUUUGCCAAUCAUGAAUAUUCUACAAGAAAACGGGGUAGUAGAGAAGACAAAUCACAAAUUGUUUGAGAAGUUGAGGUGCAUGUUGUCUAAGAGCAUAUUGAGGAAAAGAGUUUUAGGUUGAGGUUGUAACAUAUACAUGCCAUCUUAUUAAUAGAUUACCUUCUAUAAUACUUGAGAUCAAGACUCCCAUGGAGAUACGAUAUGGUACUCCAGUUUCUGAUUAUGAUUCAUUACAUAUAUUCAGUUGUUCUUCUUACUACCAUGUUUUAGAGAAUAAGUUAAAGCUUAGAUCCAAGAAAAUAAUUUUCUUAGGUUUUAGUAGUGGUGUUAAAGGCUAUUGUUUAUGGUACUCUUUGCAAAGGAAAAUCAUUGUGAGCAUGGAUGUUGUGUUGAGUGACGAUGUUAUGUUAAAAAAGAGUUUCACAGAAGAUGGAGUUUGGAAGUCAAGUUGAAACUACUAAGAUGUCUCCUCUAGAUCAUUUAGGUAUGGAUUUAGAUGUCAUAGUAGAUGAACUAGAGUUUACUUCCCCAAGGUCCAAUGAAUAUUUUAAGUCAAUUGCAGUAAGUAGACCACAUAAAGAGAUAUUGUCACCUGCAUGAGAUGUUGAAUUGGUUGCAUAUGCAUCACCCAUUGUUACUAAAGAUAUUCCAUACACUUAUAGGGAUGCAAUUCAAAGUCCUUAAAGUGAAGAUUGGAAAUUGGAAAUAUAGAAUAGAUGAACUCUCUCCACAAAAUUAAGACAUGGAAAUUAGUUCCAUUUCCUCCAUGAAGAAAGUUGUUGGAUGUAAAUGGGUGAUUACUACUCAAAAAGUGCUUGUAAUUAACUCUUUUAAACACUUUUGAGUAUUAGUUAUUACCUUUUAACUCAAUUAGCAUAUUAAGUACCUUUGCAAUCGUUUCUAAUCAAAUUGUGUAAGUUUUGGUGCUUUUGAUAGUAAUUUGAUCACCAAAGCAAUCCAAGAUUAAGGAGAACUCUAUGGAAUCCUUGGCAAAGAAAUUGGAAGCUCAUUUACAUGAAUAAUUCAAGCUUUGGAGCUUUAUAGUCCUUUGCCAUAAACAAAUCAUGAAUGCAAGGAUGAAAGCAAAGAGAGAAAUCUAACAUGAAGAAUCCAAGAAUACAUCAACUGUUUGACACUUUUGGAGCACUUCCUGGAGUCCAUUUGAUGCAUAAUAUAUGUCUUUUUGAAGCUCGAGAAGUCAGCAAUCCAACACUUCAAACGAUACAUGAAUCGGAGUUGAAAUGAAGAAGUUAGAGCCAUUGGAAGCCGAUCACACCAAGCUGAAGGCCAAUUUCGCAAGCUGCGAAAUCAACCUUUGGCUGCGAAAUGAUUUCGCAGUCAUCUCGUGCGUCUGCGAAAUUUUGCAGCCAUCUUGUGCACCUACGAAAUGCUCCUGAAUGCUUCCAAAUAUUUGCGACCGACAUUUUUAGAUAUUUUUGCUUCAGAUUUUUGAUGUCUAAAUCCUCAUUUUCUCCUUGUAAUCCACCAAUUAUAGGAUUCCUUAGUUAUUAAGUAAGAGAAAAGGGUGAAUAACCUCAUAUAUAUUGUUUUGUAAUUUUCAUUACAGAGAUUUAUCGGGAGCUUGUUCUCAGAGACGAACAUCUUUUUGUAUAGUUUUGAAGGAAGUAAAAUACAAAGCUUUGCUCUGCCUUACCUACUCAAUUUGAUUGUAUUUUUCUUACUAGCCAAACAAGCUCUAAGGAUGUUUCCUCAUAGAAUGGGUGGCUAGGAUUUUUGUCUCUUGGAGCUAAGGUAGCUGGGUAAGGUGCCGAAUGCAAGAAUUGGUAAUUUUGUUAUUUCAGCUAUUAAUGAAGAGAAAGUGUAACCCGUUUAUGGUUUCUAUGUUUUUAGUUAACUUAAAACGCCUUCAAUUCACCUAGGCCAACACUUGGUAAGGCAAGUGAUCUCCGUCCAUUGAGAUGCAUUAGUUUACCUCUUGCGAGCCUUUGGGAGGUGACUUGAAGGUAGGAUUUUCUAGAAUUGCCAACACUUGGUAAGCUUUUGGAUUCUAAGGAGACAUCUAUUAGUUAUCUCUUGCGAGCUUGAGAAGGGAAGUCCAAGGUUAAUGAUCACCUUGAAUGGAAAAUGCUAGGUGAGAGGCAUGAGCCAUUGCAAGAUGCAUCAGUGAGAGGGAAUUAGUGCUGAAAUCCAUGGAAGGGAUAUAUCUGUACAACACCGGUUGGAGAAUGAACUAUAUGUUAAUUCUCUAAUGCGAGGAAGAGAACCAAAGUGAUCGAAACUCUGUUUUUGCAUGAGGAUCCUGACCCCAGUGAUCCUAAAACUCCAAGAAAUGCUUUUCUUUAUAAGUAAUUCCCAUUGCUUUCUUUUUCGUUAGCUUGAAACCAAACCUUUUUCAACCAAAGUUUAUGUUUUCUUUUGAAGCUAACCUCGAAAUGAAAAAGACCAAUUCAACUUUGAAUUGGUAUCAGUUGUAAGUUGAAAACCCUUCCCAGUGAACGAUCCUAGAGCCACUAUGCUAUACUAGCUUAUGUUAUCCUAGUGCAUGGUGAUAUAGGUUAUAAAUUUUGUUGAUUACUCCUGUCUGAGGACCAAACUCAAGGUACACCAAUUGGGCAUGAAUCAAAUGGCGCCGUUGCCGGGGAAGGUGCUAAUUUUACAGUGAUAUUAUUUCAGAGUACUUGUGAUUUUCAUCACAAGUUUGGUGACUUUUCUUUCAUUUUACUAAUUUUUGUUUUUAAUUGUUUCUUUACUUGUUCAUAUUCUAAUAUAUCUUUUAAUUCAGUUUUAGUUCAUUUUAGUCUUUUUGUAGUCUUGUUUUCUUUUGUUUUCUUUUGUUUUUGUUUUAGUUACAGUUGAUACUAGUUGUGUAUGACAAAUUGGAUACGAGAUAGUGGAGAAAGGCUUGUUAAACGUGAUACACCUCAUAACAAGGAAUUGGAAUUGAGCUUGAAUAUCAUGGAAGCUACGCCUGAAGAUCAGCAUAGUCACCAUAGUCACUAGGACAAUCCCAAUGCUUUCAGAUCAAUGAGGGACAACAUGCAUCCACCUCGUAUGAGUGCACCAUCAUGUAUAGUGGCCCCUACAGAGCAACUAGUGAUCAGACCGCAUAUUGUUCCACUUCUACAAACUUUCCAUGGGAUGGAAAGUGAGAAUCCCUAUGCACAUAUCAAGGAAUUUGAAGAUGUUUGUAAUACAUUCCAAGAAGGAGGAGCUUCAAUCGACUUGAUGAGGCUUAAGUUAUUUCCUUUCACUUUAAAGGAUAAGGCCAAGAUUUGGCUUAAUUCUUUAAGGCCAAGGAGUAUCCGUACUUGGACUGAUUUACAAGCUGAAUCCCUCAAGAAGUUUUUUCCUACUCAUAGAACAAAUGGCUUGAAAAGGAAAAUUUCAAACUUCUCAGCUAAAGAGAAUGAGAAAUUCUAUGAGUGUUGGGAAAGAUACAUGGAAGCCAUCAAUGCUUGUCCUCACCAUGGUUUUGAUACGUGGCUAUUGGUGAGUUAUUUCUAUGAUGGGAUGUCUUCCUCAAUGAAGCAACUCCUCGAGACAAUGUGUGGAGGAGAUUUCAUGAGUAAGAAUCCGGAGGAAGCUAUGGAUUUCUUGAGUUAUGUGGCUGAAGUUUCAAGGGGAUGGGAUGAACCAAACAAAGGAGAAGUGGGAAAGAUGAAGUCUCAACUGAGUGCUUUUAAUGCUAAGGUUGGGAUGUACACCUUGAAUGAAGAUGUUGAUAUGAAAGCAAAGUUUGCAGCUAUGACAAGAAGAUUGGAGGAGCUAGAACUGAAAAAAAUGCAUGAAGUGCAAGCUGUUGCUGAAACACCAGUGCAAGUACAGCCAUGUCCUAUUUGUCAAUCUUAUGAACACUUGGUGGAGGAGUGCCCUACAAUUCCAGCUGCUAGGGAAAUGUUUGGAGAUCAAGCAAAUGUCAUUGGACAAUUCAAGCCCAAUAACAAUGCUCCGUAUGGAAAUACUUACAACUCAAGUUGGAGGAAUCAUCCAAAUUUCUCAUGGAAGCAAAGAGCACCUCAGUACCAACAGCCGGCUCAACCAUCUCAACAAGCUUCAAGCCUUGAACAAGCAAUAGUGAAUCUCAGCAAGGUUGUGGGAGAUUUUGUUAGAGACCAAAAAGCCAUCAAUGCUCAACUCAGUCAAAAAAUUGACAGUGUAGAGAAUACUUUGAAUAAAAUGAUGGAUGGGCUGCAAAAUGACUUAUCUCAAAAGAUAGAUAACCUCCAAUACUCAAUCUCAAGGCUCACUAACUUGAACACAGUACAAGAGAAGGGUAGAUUUCAUUCUCAACCUCACCAAAACCCUAAGGGUAUCCAUGAAGUGGAAACUCAUGAAGGAGAAUCUUCACAGGUGAGAGAUGUCAAAGCCUUGAUCACUCUAUGGAGUGGUAAAAAAGUUGAGCUGCCAACACCCAAGCCACAUGUUGAAGAGGAAGAAGAAGAAGAGACAAAGAAGAGGGAGGAAAUCAAAGGAAAGAAGAAAGAUAUCAGUGAAGGAAAGAGGACCAUGAUUCAAUAGUAAAUGCAAAUCCAGAGAAAGUACUUAUUAAGGAAGAAAUGUUGAAGAAACACACCUCUCCACCUUUUCCUCAAGCUUUGCAUGGGAAAAAGGGGAUUAGAAAUGCAUCAGAAAUUCUUGAAGUAUUGAGACAAGUGAAAGUCAAUAUUCCAUUGCUGGAUAUGAUUAAACAAGUCCCAACAUAUGCAAAAUUCCUAAAGGACUUGUGUACUAUCAAAAGAGAGUUAAAUGUGAACAAGAAAGCCUUCAUGACUAAGCAAGUGAGUGCUAUCAUACAAUGCAAGUCUCCUUUGAAGUACAAAGAUCCGGGAUGUCCUACCAUUUCAGUCAUGAUUGGAGGAAAGGUAGUGGAGAAAGCCUUGUUAGACUUGGGAGCAAGUGUGAAUUUGCUACCAUACUCUGUCUACAAGCAAUUGGGACUUGGUGAAUUGAAGCCAACAUCAAUCACUCUAUCUCUAGCAGAUAGAUCAGUGAAAAUUCCAAGGGGGAUAAUUGAAGAUGUCUUAGUUCAAGUUGAUAAUUUCUACUAUCCAAUAGAUUUUGUUGUUCUUGAUACGGACCCCAUUGUCAAGAAAGCUAAUUAUGUUCCUAUCAUCCUUGGAAGGCCAUUCCUUGCUACCUCAAAUGCAGUCAUCAACUGUAGGAAUGGACUUAUGCAACUCACUUUUGGCAACACGACACUUGAGCUCAAUAUCUUUUAUAUGUCUGAAAAGCAAAUCACUCCGGAAGAAGAAGAAGGUCCAGAGGAGGUAUGCAUUAUUGACACUCUAGUGGAGGAACACUGUAAUCAAAAUAUGCAAGACAAGUUGAAUGAAAGUCUUGGGGAUCUUUAAGAAGGGUUACCUGAACCCUCUGAUGUGCUUGCUACUCUACAAGGUUGGAGGAGGAGAGAAGAGAUUCUACCUUUGUUCAAUAAAGAGGAGGCACAAGAAGCUGCUAAAGAAGAGACCCCAAAGCUCAAUUUGAAGCCUCUGCCCAUGGAGUUGAAAUACACAUACCUAGAAGAGAAUAAACAAUGCCCUGUUGUUAUAUCUUCAUCUCUUACUAGUCAUUAGGAAAAGUGUCUACUUGAAGUUCUCAAGAGGUGUAAGAAAGCAAUAGGAUGGAAAAUAUCUGACUUGAAAGGCAUUAGUCCUUUGGUUUGUACACAUCAUAUAUACAUGGAGGAAGAAGCUAAACCAAUUCGUUAACCUCAAAGAAGAUUGAAUCCUCAUUUGCAAGAGGUGGUGCGAGUUGAAGUGUUGAAGCUACUUCAAGCAGGUAUUAUCUACCCCAUAUCUGACAGCCCUUGGGUGAGUCCUACUCAAGUGGUACCAAAGAAGUCAGGGAUCACUGUGGUUCAAAAUGAAAAAGGAGAAGAAAUUACUACACGCCUCACUUCAGGUUGGAGAGUGUGUAUUGAUUAUAGAAAAUUGAAUGUUGUGACAAGGAAAGAUCAUUUUCCAUUGCCAUUUAUUGAUCAAGUCUUGGAGAGAGUCUCUAGCCAUUCUUUCUAUUAUUUCUUGGACGGGUACUCCAGAUAUUUUCAAAUUGAAAUUGAUGUUGAAGAUCAGGAGAAAACCACUUUUACAUGUCCAUUUGGAACAUCUGCCUAUAGAAGAAUGCCUUUUGGUUUAUGCAAUGCACCUGCAACAUUCCAAAGAUGUAUGCUAAGUAUCUUUACUGAUAUAGUGGAGCGAAUUAUGGAGGUACAUUUGAAGAAUGCUUAGUCAACUUAGAAGCGGUUCUUAACAGAUGCAUUGAGGAGGACUUGGUGCUCAACUGGGAGAAAUGCAAUUUUAUGGUACAUCAAGGAAUUGUCCUUGGCCAUAUCAUCUCCGAGAAAGGCAUUGAAGUUGAUAAAGCAAAGAUGGAACUUAUUGUCAAAUUGCUGUCCCCAACAACUGUAAAAGGAGUAAGGCAAUUCCUUGGCCAUGCAGGGUUCUAUAGGAGAUUUAUAAAAGAUUUCUCUAAUCUUUCAAAACCUCUUUGUGAACUUUUGGCUAAGGAUGCUAAGUUUAUAUGGGAUGAAAGAUGCCAAAAGAGUUUUGAUCAACUGAAGCAAUUCUUGACAACAACUCUAAUAGUGCGGGCUCCUAACUAGCAACUACCCUUUGAAGUAAUGUGUGAUGCCAGUGACUUUGCUAUAGAAGCUGUGCUUGGCCAAAGAGAAGAUGGAAAGCCCUAUGUGAUCUACUAUGCAAGCAAGACAUUGAACGAAGCUCAAAGGAACUACACAACUACAGAGAAAGAAUUGUUAGCUGUAGUGUUUGUCUUAGACAAGUUUCGUGCUUAUUUGGUAGGGUCUUUCAUCAUUGUUUUCACAGACCAUUCAGCCUUGAAGUAUUUAUUGACAAAACAAGAUGCAAAAGCAAGGUUGAUUAGAUGGAUUCUCUUAUUACAAGAGUUCGAUCUCCAAAUCAGAGAUAAGAAAGGAGUGGAGAAUGUGGUAGCUGACCACCUUUCAAGGUUAGUUAUAGCACACAAUUCCCAUGUCCUACCUAUUAAUGAUGACUUUCCUGAGGAAUCACUUAUGUUGCUAGCAAAAACUCCUUGGUAUGCUCAUAUUGCUAACUAUCUAGUUACUGGUGAAGUUCCAAGUGAGUGGAAAGCACAAGACAGGAAGCACUUCUUUGCAAAGAUUCAUGCUUAUUAUUGGGAAGAGUCUUUCCUUUUCAAGUAUUGUGCAGAUCAAAUUAUACGGAAGUGUGUCCCUGAAGAAGAGCAACAAGGAAUCCUCAGCCAUUGCCAUGAAAGUGCAUGUGGAGGCCACUUUGCCUCUCAGAAAACAGCCAUGAAGGUGUUGCAAUCAGGGUUUACUUGGCCAUCACUCUUCAAAGAUGCCCACAUCAUGUGUAGGAGCUGUGAUAGAUGCCAAAGGCUCGGGAAGCUAACAAGAAGGAAUCAAAUGCCUAUGAACCCCAUUCUAAUAGUUGAUCUCUUUGAUGUUUGGGCCAUUGACUUCAUGGGACCUUUCCCAAUGUCUUUUGGUAACUCUUAUAUCUUGGUGGGGGUGGACUAUGUUUCUAAAUGGGUUAAGGCAAUCCCCUGUAAACACAAUGAUCACAGGGUGGUUCUCAAGUUUCUUAAGGAGAACAUCUUCUCAAGAUUUGGGGUGCCCAUGGCCAUAAUCAGUGAUGGAGGUACUCAUUUUUGCAACAGACCUUUUGAAACCCUAUUAGCCAAGUAUGGAGUGAAGCAUAAGGUAGCUACACCUUAUCACCCUCAGACUUCCGGGCAAGUUGAGCUAGCAAACAGGGAAAUCAAGAAUAUAUUGAUGAAUGUGGUGAUCACGAGUAGAAGAGAUUGGUCUAUUAAGCUUCAAGACUCACUAUGGGCAUAUAGAAUGAUUCGUGCCCAAUUGGUGUCUCAGCUGAUUUGUGUUCAGCUGGUGCUCCUUGAUUGAGGGAGUAAUCAACAAAAUUUAUAACCUAUAACACCCUAUACUAGGGUAGCAAAGAAAAAGCUACUAUAGUAUAGUGGCUCUAGGAUCGUCCACUGGGAAAGAUUAACAAGCUCUCAAUGAUACCAAUUCCAAGUGAAUUGGUUUUGUUUCAUUUCAUGGUUAGCUUAAGAAGUAAAACACAAGCUUUGAUUGGUAAAGGUUUAGACUUAAACUAACUAACACAACAGAAGUUUGGAAUAAUUUAGGAAGAAAAGCAUUCCCUGGACAGUUAGGUUCACUAGGGUGGUUCCUCAUGCAAAAGACACGGCUCUGGUCAGAUGGUUCAUUUCCUCGCGUUAGAGAUUCAACAUAUAGUCAAUUCUCUAACCGGUGCUGUACAGAGACUCCUUCAAUUAGAUUUCACUUUAAUUCUCUCACUGAUGCAACUUGCAAUGGUUUAAGCCUCUCACUAAGCCUUAACCAUUCAAGGUGAUCUUUAACCUUGGAUUACCCGUCAAAAGCUCGCAAGAGAUAACUAAUGGAUGUCUCCUUGGAGUCCAAAAGCUUAUCAAGUGUUGGCUAUUCUAGAAAAUCCUACCUUGAAGUCACCUCCCAGAGGCUCGCAAGGGGUAAACUAGUGCAUUUCCAUGGUUGGAAAUUACUUGCCUUACCAAGUGUUGGCCCAGGUGACUCUAAGGUGUUUUAAGUUAACUAAAAACAUAGAAAUCACUAAAGGAUUUCAAUUCCUCUUCAUUACUAGCAAAAACCACAGAGCUUUGCAUUCUUGCACUUGGAACCUUCCCCGGCAACCUUAGCUCCAAGGAAUUAGAGGUUUAGUUACUCAUUCUCUGGGGAAAACUCCUCAGAGAAUUCAUAACUUAGUAAGAAAAUAAAAAUACAAAGUGAGAAGGUAAGGCAGUAGAAAGAAAUAGACUUUACUUGUUUACCCAAACUUUUACAGAAGGAACUCCUCUCUGAGAACAGGCUCCCGAGAGGUAUAUAUAUGUACAUAAUUUAAAACUAAUUAUUACAUAGAUAUUUAGUCUUUUUACUAACUUAAAAACUAAGGAAUCAUGUAAUUGGUGGUUUACAAGGAGUAUUUUGGGAUUUCGACAACAAAAAUCUAAUGGAAAAUAUCUCCCAAUGUUGGUAGCAAAUAUCGGGAGGCUUCAGGAACCAUUUCGCAGGAGAAAAAUGGUGUCUGCGAGAUUUCGCAGACACUCAAGAGGGCUGCGAAAUAAUUUCGCAACACCAAGCUAAACUCGCAGGGCUGCGAAGUUGGCUUCCACCUUGAGGUUCCAAGCUUCCUUCUCGCGGUAUAUGUCGGGCAUUGUCAGAAGGAGAAACAUCACACUGUACAAAAAGGCUGCGAAAUCACUUCGCAACAAAAGGGUGAUUUCGCAACACUUUGCAAAAUGCUUCCUUCAACUCAGAGUGAUUGGCUUGUAAUGGCUGCAACUUCUUCGUUUCAACUCCGAAUUGCACAUCGUUUGAAGAAUUGGAUUGUUGACUUCCUGAGCUUUGAAAUGGUAUAUAGCAUGCAUCAUUUGGACUUCAGAAAGUGCUCCAAAAGUGGCUGCUAUGACUAUCAUCAAGAAUAUGCUUUAUGGCAGAUUCUCUUUGCUUUUUCUCCUUGCAAUCCGGAUUUACUCUUGGAAAAUGACUUCUAAGCUUUGCCCAAGAUUCCUCAUAGCUCUCCUCAGUCUUGACUUGCUUUGGUGAUCAAAAUACUAACAAAAACACCAAAACUUACACAAAGUGAUCAAAAUUGCUUUCAAGGGUCCUUAACAUGCCAAUUGAGUUAAAAGGCCAAAACUACUACUCAAAAGUGUUUAAAAGGAUUAAUUAUAGGCUAUCAAAUAGCACUUUUUGAGUAGUAAUCAUAGAACAGCUUAUAAAACUAUUCUUGGCAUGUCUCCCUAUCACCUAGUCUAUGGCAAAGCAUGCCAUCUCCCUGUGGAAGUUGAAUAUAAGGCUUGGUGGGCAAUCAAGAAGUUAAACAUGGACUUGAUCAGAGCCAGGGCAAAGAGGUGCUUAGACCUUAAUGAGAUAGAGGAAUUAAGAAAUGAUGCUUACAACAAUUCCAAAGUUGCAAAACAGAGGAUGAAGAGGUGGCAUGAUCAAUUAAUCUCCAACAAAGAAUUCCGAAAAGGACAAAGAGUCUUACUCUAUGAUUCAAGGCUCCAUAUCUUUCCUAGGAAGCUCAAGUCAAGGUGGAUAGGCCUUUUCAUUAUUCACCAAGUGCAUCCCAAUGGAGUGGUGGAAUUACUGAAUUCCAACAGCACUGACACUUUCAAGAUCAAUGGUCAUCGUCUCAAGCCAUUCAUUGAGCCAUUCAAGCAAGAAAAAGGAGGAAAUCAACCUCCUUGAGCCACAGAAAGCCUAAUCAGAAACAGGUUAAAUGGACUUGGUUUCACCAAAGUCCAUAUUUUUUGUUAAAUUUUGUUAAUUUAAAAGCUUUGUUAAUUCUUUUGAUUUUAAUUUUGGUCUUAAAUUGUGUUAUUUAUAUGUAACUUAAUCUUUUUGAAUGAUCUAAUUUAGAAGGAAUUGCAAAGAAAAUGAAGGAAGGUCUCUUGGAGCUAAAAGGAUUUCAAAAGCAAAGGAAAAUUCAUGGCCUGCGAGAUUUCGCAGCCCAAAGGAAGCCUCUGCGAAAAUGGCCCUUGGUUACGAAAUGAUUUCGCAGCCCCAAGAAGAGCGCUGCGAAAUGAGGUAUCCGUUGCGAAAACGCCCCUUGGCUGCGAAAUGAUUUCGUAGCCCCAAGCCCCCACUCUGCGAAAAUUUUCGCAGCUGCGAAACACGCCUUUGGCACACGAGUGCCAUUUCGCAGGCCCCCACUUUAUUUCGCAGCUGCGAAAUAGGCUGCGAAAUCCCCAAGCUUUAAAACUCCAAUUUUCGCAACCCCAAGGAAGCCGCUGCGAAAUCAGGCCUCCGCUGCGAAAUAGCCCCUUGGCUGUGAAAUGAUUUCGCAGCCUCAUAGCUCCCUCUGCGAAACCACCUAUUAGCACACGAGUGCCAUUUCGCAACCUCCUACCCUCAUUUCGCAGCUGCAAAAUGGCUGCGAAAUCCUCAAAGCCUUAAAAACUCCAUUUUCGCAGCCAAAGCCCAAUUUCGCAGGGUGUUUCGCAGCUGCGAAACACCCCUUUGGCACACAAGUGCCAUUUCGCAGCACACCCCCCUCAUUUCGCAGCUACGAAAUGGGUUGCGAAAAUGCCUUUUGUUGCGAAAUCGGCCCUCCGCUGCGAAAUCGGCCCUCCUCUGCGAAAAUUAAAACGACCCUUGGCAUCCAUUUUAGAACUUUAUAAAUUCCACCUUUCUUUUUAAAACUGGUCAUUUGAAUUGCAAAAAGGUGCCAAAGAGGAGCCAAGCCAAAGUGAUUACUACCAAAAAGUGCUAUUUUGUAGACCUAAUUAUAAUGGUUUUAAGCACCUUUGAGUAGUAAUCAUAUUCAUUUAACCCAAUUAAUUCAUUAAGGUCCUUAGUAAUUGGUUUUAACCUUUUUGUGGCAAAGUUGACAUGUUUUUUAUCAGCUUAUGAAUCGAUUCAAGCAUGCCAAUUGAUGGAGGAGCUACUUGGGCGAGUUAAGCAAGGAUUUUGUACGUUUAUAGGCUUGAAUUUCAAGUGGAAACACGAGCACAAGCAAUGGGGAAGAGGAAAACAGAGUGAAGAAAACAGAGUGAAGAAAACAGCUGCAGUCUUCUUUUGAACUUUUGGAGCACUUCACGAAGUCCAUUUUUUGCAUGCUAUAUACCAUUUGAAAGCUUAGGAAGUCAAGAAUCCAACGCUUCAAACCGUGUAUGAUUUUGAGCUGAAAUGAGGAAUAUAUGGCCUUUGGAAGGCAACUGCAUCAUGUCAAAUGACCAAUUUCGCAAUGUGAAUUUCACAUUGCGAAAAUUUCGCAAGGAGAUUUUCUUCAUGGUGCGAAAUUUUGCCACUUCGCACCAUGAAGAAACACAUUGCGAAAAUUUCGCAAGGAGGAUUUAGGCACAUUGCGAAAUUCCUUUGAAUCCCCUGUUUUGAGACGUUGUUGAUGUUAUUCCACUAUCGGUUCUCCAAGAUAUUUUGCUUGAUUUUUAGCUUUGUAAAUACCUAUUUUACCCUUGUAAUCAACCAAUGAAUAGGUAUCUUUUGUAAUAGCUCUUGUAAUUUAGCUUGUUAUUGUCUUGAAAUAGAGGUGAAGAGCCUCAGACAAUCAUCUAAUCUUGUAACCUGUAACUUUAUAAGUUAU